rnacentral:rRNA from 1 species
AGAGUUUGAUCAUGGCUCAGAGCGAACGCUGGCGGCGUACUUAACACAUGCAAGUCGUACGAGGAUCGUCGGGUUAGCAAUAAUUCGGCGGUUCGAGUGGCGCACGGGUGAGUAACACGUGGGUAACCCACCCUCGAGACCGGGAUACCCUCUCGAAAGGGAGGCUAAUACUGGAUACGUUCCCCGGGACGCAAGAUCUGGGGAGGAAAGGUGGCGAAAGCUGCCGCUCUUGGAGGGGCUCGCGGCCUAUCAGCUAGUUGGUGAGGUAACGGCUCACCAAGGCUAUGACGGGUAGCUGGUCUGAGAGGACGACCAGCCACACGGGAACUGAGACACGGUCCCGACUCCUACGGGAGGCAGCAGUGGGGAAUUUUCCGCAAUGGGCGAAAGCCUGACGGAGUGACGCCGCGUGGGGGACGAAGGCCUUCGGGUCGUAAACCCCUGUCAGAGGGAAAGAAGGGUGUCGGCGUGAAUAGCGCCGGCAUCUGACGGUACCUUCAGAGGAAGCCCCGGCCAACUCUGUGCCAGCAGCCGCGGUAAGACAGAGGGGGCAAGCGUUGCUCGGAAUCACUGGGCGUAAAGGGCGCGUAGGCGGGAUGGCAAGUCGGUCGUGAAAUCCUUCGGCUCAACCGAAGAACGUCGGCCGAUACUGCCGUUCUUGAGGGAUGCAGAGGAGAUUGGAAUUCCCGGUGUAGCGGUGAAAUGUGUAGAGAUCGGGAGGAACACCGGUGGCGAAGGCGGGUCUCUGGGCAUCUCCUGACGCUGAGGCGCGAAAGCGUGGGGAGCAAACGGGAUUAGAUACCCUAGUAGUCC